rnacentral:rRNA from 1 species
GAUGAACGCUGGCGGCGUGCCUAAUACAUGCAAGUCGAGCGAACGGACGAGAAGCUUGCUUCUCUGAUGUUAGCGGCGGACGGGUGAGUAACACGUGGAUAACCUACCUAUAAGACUGGGAUAACUUCGGGAAACCGGAGCUAAUACCGGAUAAUAUUUUGAACCGCAUGGUUCAAAAGUGAAAGACGGUCUUGCUGUCACUUAUAGAUGGAUCCGCGCUGCAUUAGCUAGUUGGUAAGGUAACGGCUUACCAAGGCAACGAUGCAUAGCCGACCUGAGAGGGUGAUCGGCCACACUGGAACUGAGACACGGUCCAGACUCCUACGGGAGGCAGCAGUAGGGAAUCUUCCGCAAAGGGCGAAAGCCUGACGGAGCAACGCCGCGUGAGUGAUGAAGGUCUUCGGAUCGUAAAACUCUGUUAUUAGGGAGGAACAGAUGUGUAAGUAACUGUGCACAUCUUGACGGUACCUAAUCAGAAAGCCACGGCUAACUACGUG